GGAGUACGGCCGCAAGGUUGAAACCCAAAGGAAUUGACGGGGACCCGCACAAGCGGUGGAUGAUGUGGUUUAAUUCGAUGCAACGCGAAAAACCUUACCCACCUUUGACAUGUACGGAAGUUACCAGAGAUGGUUUCGUGCUCGAAAGAGAACCGUAACACAGGUGCUGCAUGGCUGUCGUCAGCUCGUGUCGUGAGAUGUUGGGUUAAGUCCCGCAACGAGCGCAACCCUCGCCAUUAGUUGCUACGAAAGGGCACUCUAAUGGGACUGCCGGUGACAAACCGGAGGAAGGUGGGGAUGACGUCAAGUCCUCAUGGCCCUUACAGGCUGGGCUACACACGUGCUACAAUGGCGGUGACAAUGGGACGCGAAGCCGCGAGGCCGAGCAAAUCUCCAAAAGCCGUCUCAGUUCGGAUUGCACUCUGCAACUCGAGUGCAUGAAGUUGGAAUCGCUAGUAAUCGUAGAUCAGAACGCUACGGUGAAUACGUUCCCGGGCCUUGUACACACCGCCCGUCACACCAUGGGAGUUGGCUUUACCCGAAGGCGUCUCGCUAACCGCAAGGAGGCAGGCGACCACGGUAGGGUCAGCGACUGGGGUG
rnacentral:rRNA from 1 species